rnacentral:rRNA from 1 species
CCCCGGCGAGGGGAGUGAAAAAGAACCUGAAACCGUGUACGUACAAGCAGUGGGAGCACCCUUCGGGGUGUGACUGCGUACCUUUUGUAUAAUGGGUCAGCGACUUAUAUUCUGUAGCAAGGUUAACCGUAUAGGGGAGCCGUAGGGAAACCGAGUCUUAACCGGGCGUUAAGUUGCAGGGUAUAGACCCGAAACCCGGUGAUCUAGCCAUGGGCAGGUUGAAGGUUGGGUAACACUAACUGGAGGACCGAACCGACUAAUGUUGAAAAAUUAGCGGAUGACCUGUGGCUGGGGGUGAAAGGCCAAUCAAACCGGGAGAUAGCUGGUUCUCCCCGAAAGCUAUUUAGGUAGCGCCUCGUGAAUUCAUCUCCGGGGGUAGAGCACUGUUUCGGCUAGGGGGCCAUCCCGGCUUACCAACCCGAUGCAAACUGCGAAUACCGGAGAAUGUUAUCACGGGAGACACACGGCGGGUGCUAACGUCCGUCGUGAAGAGGGAAACAACCCAGACCGCCAGCUAAGGUCCCAAAGUCAUGGUUAAGUGGGAAACGAUGUGGGAAGGCCCAGACAGCCAGGAUGUUGGCUUAGAAGCAGCCAUCAUUUAAAGAAAGCGUAAUAGCUCACUGGUCGAGUCGGCCUGCGCGGAAGAUGUAACGGGGCUAAACCAUGCACCGAAGCUGCGGCAGCGAACGUAUCACCCAAGACAACUUUACGGAGUUGACGAUUGACGGAGCGAAGCGACGUCAAAGCGUUCAUUAAAGUCGAGUUGGCUUAGGGAUACGUUCGUUGGGUAGGGGAGCGUUCUGUAAGCCUGUGAAGGUGUGUCGUGAGGCAUGCUGGAGGUAUCAGAAGUGCGAAUGCUGACAUAAGUAACGAUAAAGCGGGUGAAAAGCCCGCUCGCCGGAAGACCAAGGGUUCCUGUCCAACGUUAAUCGGGGCAGGGUGAGUCGACCCCUAAGGCGAGGCCGAAAGGCGUAGUCGAUGGGAAACGGGUUAAUAUUCCCGUACUUGGUGUUACUGCGAAGGGGGGACGGAGAAGGCUAUGUUGGCCGGGCGACGGUUGUCCCGGUUUAAGCGUGUAGGUGUGUGUUCCAGGUAAAUCCGGUUCACUUUAACACUGAGGCGUGACGACGAGGCACUACGGUGCUGAAGCAACAAAUGCCCUGCUUCCAGGAAAAGCCUCUAAGCAUCAGGUAACACGAAAUCGUACCCCAAACCGACACAGGUGGUCAGGUAGAGAAUACCAAGGCGCUUGAGAGAACUCGGGUGAAGGAACUAGGCAAAAUGGUGCCGUAACUUCGGGAGAAGGCACGCUGACACGUAGGUGAAGUGAUUUACUCAUGGAGCUGAAGUCAGUCGAAGAUACCAGCUGGCUGCAACUGUUUAUUAAAAACACAGCACUGUGCAAACACGAAAGUGGACGUAUACGGUGUGACGCCUGCCCGGUGCCGGAA